rnacentral:rRNA from 1 species
UGCGUAGGUGGCAUGGUAAGUUUGAUGUGAAAGCUCAGGGCUCAACCCUGAAAUGGCAUUGAAUACUACUGUGCUGGAGGUUUGGAGGGGGGACUGGAAUUCUCGGUGUAGCAGUGAAAUGCGUAGAUAUCGAGAGGAACACCAGUGGCGAAGGCGAGUCCCUGGACAACACCUGACACUGAGGCACGAAAGCUAGGGGAGCAAACA